CCUGCGAAAGCAGGCUCCCGCAAGGGCCGAUGUCGAGGUGCUGCAUGGCUGUCGUCAGCUCGUGUCGUGAGAUGUUGGGUUAAGUCCCGCAACGAGCGCAACCCUUGUCCGCUGUUGCCAUCACGUUAUGGUGGGCACUCUGCGGAGACUGCCGGUGAUAAACCGGAGGAAGGUGGGGAUGACGUCAAGUCAGCAUGGCCUUUAUGUCUGGGGCUACACACGUGCUACAAUGGCCGGUACAAACCGUCGCGAUGCCGUAAGGUGGAGCUAAUCGGAGAAAGCCGGUCUCAGUUCGGAUUGCAGGCUGCAACUCGCCUGCAUGAAGUUGGAAUCGCUAGUAAUCGCGGAUCAGCACGCCGCGGUGAAUACGUUCCCGGGCCUUGUACACACCGCCCGUCACAUCACGAAAGCUGGCUGUACUAGAAGUCACCACGCUAACCCGCAAGGGAGGCAAGUGCCUAAGGUAUGGUCAGUGAUUGGGGUGAAGUCGUAACAAGGUAGGCGUAGAUGA
rnacentral:rRNA from 1 species